UGGGAGGUGGCUCAGUGGAUAAAGUGUUGGACUUUCAAACCUGAGGUCCCAGGUUCAAUCCCUGGUAUCACAU
rnacentral:tRNA from 1 species